GGAGACCUGCUUGGGCUGAAGGAAGGCCUGGACACUGGCAGCUGGGCGCUGGACUUUGACUCAGAGUCCAUGAAUGACGAGAUUUACUGGGGCUGCUUCUACUUCUUCCCUUGCUUCAGGAUGUGCAGGAGGGACAAACGGGGGCAGCCGUAACGCGAUCCCAAAGGAUGCCUCGAAAGUCGCCUUCCUCCCUCGAAUUUCCCUGUUGCGCUGGUCGUCCAGAUAUAUUUUCGCCCCAAAAAGAUGGAAGUCGGUGCCAUGCUUGGAUAUUUUAAAAGUGUGGAACCACCCUUUUUGUUGUUGUUGUUGUUGUUUCCAGCCCUUGAAAUAACCUCUCCUUCCCCAUCAUCACACUAUGGGAAGGGUCAGCUUGGAUGGGUCUCUUCUAUUUUCUGACAGCAGGGGGCGACAGACCCCAGGGAUGAGGUCCACUUGCAACACAAUUUCUGCUGGAUCUGCACUGCCCUAUCAUUCAGUUUGAACCCACAUUAUAAGUAGAUAGGUAUAUAGGUAGGUAGGUAGGUAGGUAGGUAGGUAGAUAGAUAGAUGAAUAGACAGAUGAAUAGAUAGAUAGACAGACAGAUGAAUAGAUAGAUAGAUGAAUAGAUAGAUAGAUAGAUGAAUAGACAGAUGAAUAGAUAGAUAGAUAGAUAGAUAGAUAGAUAGAUAGAUAGAUAGAUAGAUAGAUAGAUAGAUAGAUAGAUAGAUAGAUGAAUAGACAGAUGAAUAGAUAGAUAGAUAGAUAGAUAGAUAGAUAGAUAGAUAGAUAGAUAGAUGAUAGAUAGACAGACAGAUGAAUAGAUAGAUAGAUGAAUAGAUAGAUAGAUAGACAGAUAGAUGAUAGAUAGAUAGAUAAAUAGAUGAAUAGAUAGAUAGAUGAAUACAUAGAUAGAUAGAUGAAUAGAUAGAUAGAUAUAGAUAGAUAGAUGAAUAGAUAGAUAGAUGAUAGAUAGACAGACAGGUAGAUGAAUAGAUAGAUAGAUAGAUAGACAGACAGACAGACAGAUAGAUGAUAGAUAGACAGACAGGUAGAUGAAUAGAUAGAUGAAUAGAUAGAUGAAUAGAUAGAUAGAUGAAUAGAUAGAUAGAUAGAUAGAUAGAUAGAUAGAUAGAUAGAUAGAUAGAUAGACGAUAGAUAGACAGACAGGUAGAUGAAUAGAUAGAUAGAUGAAUACAUAGAUAGAUAGAUGAAUAGAUAGAUGAAUAGAUAGAUAGAUAUAGAUAGAUAGAUGAAUAGAUAGAUAGAUAGAUGAAUAGAUAGAGAUAGAUAGAUAGAUAGAUGAAUAGAUAGAUGAUAGAUAGACAGACAGACAGGUAGAUGAAUAGAUAGAUGAAUAGAUAGAUAGACAGACAGACAGACAGAUAGAUGAUAGAUAGAUAAAUAGAUGAAUAGAUAGAUGAAUAGAUAGAUAUAGAUAGAUAGAUAGAUAGAUAGAUGAAUAGAUAGAUGAAUAGAUAGAUAGAUAGACAGACAGACAGACAGAUGAAUAGAUAGAUAGAUGAAUAGAUAGAUAGAUAGAUAGAUAGAUAGAUAGAUAGAUACAGACAGUCAGACAGAUAGAUGAUAGAUAGAUAGAUAAAUAGAUGAAUAGAUAGAUAGAUAGAUAGAUAGAUAGAUAGAUAGAUAGAUAGAUAGACAGACAGACAGGUAGAUGAAUAGAUAAUGAAUAGAUAGAUAGAUAGAUAGAUGAUAGACAGACAGACAGGUAGAUGAAUAGAUAGAUAGAUAGAUGAAUAGAUAGGUAGAUAGAUAGAUAGAUAGAUAGAUGAAUAGAUAGAUAGAUAUAGAUAGAUAGAUGAAUAGAUAGAUAGAUAGAUGAAUAGAUAGAGAUAGAUAGAUAGAUAGAUAGAUAGAUAGAUAGAUAGAUAGAUAGAUAGAUAGAUAGAUGAAUAGAUAGAUGAUAGAUAGACAGACAGACAGGUAGAUGAAUAGAUAGAUGAAUAGAUAGAUAGAUAGACAGACAGACAGAUAGAUGAUAGAUAGAUAGAUAAAUAGAUGAAUAGAUAGAUGAAUAGAUAGAUAUAGAUAGAUAGAUAGAUAGAUAGAUAGAUAGAUGAAUAGAUAGAGAUAGAUAGAUAGAUAGAUAGAUGAAUAGAUAGAUGAUAGAUAGACAGACAGACAGGUAGAUGAAUAGAUAGAUGAAUAGAUAGAUAGACAGACAGACAGACAGAUAGAUGAUAGAUAGAUAGAUAAAUAGAUGAAUAGAUAGAUGAAUAGAUAGAUAUAGAUAGAUAGAUAGAUAGAUAGAUAGAUAGAUGAAUAGAUAGAUGAAUAGAUAGAUAGAUAGACAGACAGACAGACAGAUGAAUAGAUAGAUAGAUGAAUAGAUAGAUAGAUAGAUAGAUAGAUAGAUACAGACAGUCAGACAGAUAGAUGAUAGAUAAAUAGAUGAAUAGAUAGAUAGAUAGAUAGAUAGAUAGAUAGAUAGAUAGAUAGACAGACAGACAGACAGGUAGAUGAAUAGAUAAUGAAUAGAUAGAUAGAUAGAUAGAUAGAUGAUAGACAGACAGACAGGUAGAUGAAUAGAUAGAUAGAUAGAUGAAUAGAUAGGUAGAUAGAUAGAUAGAUAGAUGAAUAGAUAGAUAGAUAUAGAUAGAUAGAUGAAUAGAUAGAUAGAUAGAUGAAUAGAUAGAGAUAGAUAGAUAGAUAGAUAGAUAGAUAGAUAGAUAGAUAGAUAGAUGAAUAGAUAGAUGAUAGAUAGACAGACAGACAGGUAGAUGAAUAGAUAGAUGAAUAGAUAGAUAGAUAGACAGACAGACAGAUAGAUGAUAGAUAGAUAGAUAAAUAGAUGAAUAGAUAGAUGAAUAGAUAGAUAUAGAUAGAUAGAUAGAUAGAUAGAUAGAUAGAUGAAUAGAUAGAUAAAUAGAUAGAUAGAUAGGCAGACAGACAGACAGAUGAAUAGAUAGAUAGAUGAAUAGAUAGAUAGAUAGAUAGAUAGAUACAGACAGUCAGACAGAUAGAUGAUAGAUAGAUAGAUAAAUAGAUGAAUAGAUAGAUAGAUAGAUAGAUAGAUAGAUAGAUAGAUAGAUAGAUAGAUACAGACAGUCAGACAGAUAGAUGAUAGAUAGAUAGAUAAAUAGAUGAAUAGAUAGAUAGAUAGAUAGAUAGAUAGAUAGAUAGAUAGAUAGAUAGAUAGAUAGACAGACAGACAGGUAGAUGAAUAGAUAAUGAAUAGAUAGAUAGAUAGAUAGAUAGAUAGAUGAUAGACAGACAGACAGGUAGAUGAAUAGAUAGAUAGAUAGAUGAAUAGAUAGGUAGAUAGAUAGAUAGAUAGAUAGAUAGAUAGAUGAAUAGAUAGAUAGAUACAGACAGACAGAUAGAUAGAUAAUAGAUAGAUAAAUAGAUGAAUAGAUAGAUAGAUAGAUAGAUAGAUAGACAGACAGACAGACAGACAGACAGACAGGUAGAUGAAUAGAUAAUGAAUAGAUAGACAGACAGACAGACAGAUAGAUAGAUAGAUAGAUAGAUAGA